rnacentral:rRNA from 1 species
GAUCCUGGCUCAGAGUGAACGCUGGCGGUAGGCCUAACACAUGCAAGUCGAACGGCAGCACAGGGGAGCUUGCUCUCUGGGUGGCGAGUGGCGGACGGGUGAGGAAUACAUCGGAAUCUACUUUUUCGUGGGGGAUAACGUAGGGAAACUUACGCUAAUACCGCAUACGACCUACGGGUGAAAGCAGGGGAUCUUCGGACCUUGCGCGAUUGAAUGAGCCGAUGUCGGAUUAGCUAGUUGGCGGGGUAAAGCCC